GGGCGUGUGGUCUAGCGGUAGGAUUCUCGCUUCGGGUGUGAGAGGUCCUGGGUUCGAUUCCCAGCUCGCCCC
rfam:Pichia pastoris GS115 chromosome 1, complete sequence